rnacentral:rRNA from 1 species
GAUGAACGCUGGCGGCGUGCUUAACACAUGCAAGUCGAACGGAAAGGCUCCUGCUUGCAGGGGUACUCGAGUGGCGAACGGGUGAGUAACACGUGGGUGAUCUGCCCUGCACUUCGGGAUAAGCCUGGGAAACUGGGUCUAAUACCGGAUAGGACCACAUUUUGGAUGGUGUGGUGGAAAGUUUUUCGGUGUGGGAUGAGCUCGCGGCCUAUCAGCUUGUUGGUGGGGUAAUGGCCUACCAAGGCGUCGACGGGUAGCCGGCCUGAGAGGGUGUACGGCUACAUUGGGACUGAGAUACGGCCCAGACUCCCACGGGAGGCAGCAGUGGGGAAUAUUGCACAAUGGGCGCAAGCCUGAUGCAGCGACGCCGCGUGGGGGAUGACGGCCUUCGGGUUGUAAACUCCUUUCGCUAGGGACGAAGCGCAAGUGACGGUACCUGGAGAAGAAGCACCGGCUAACUACGUG